rnacentral:lncRNA from 1 species
UUUUAUUCAAUAAAUCGAAAACGAGGCAUUUAAGACCUGGUGCAAUCCCCAGAAAAUGUUCCUAUUCUGAAGAAGCAAAACCGAGAUAAACACUUCAUUCUAUAUAGUCACCUGAUCAAUCGUUGUGUAGAAGAAGAAUAUCCUUCAUCUGAAAAUGACACAAAACCAGGACGUUGUAUACUCCUUGAACGCUCCUUUGCCAAUUCAACAGGUACUGUAUUGAUAUCAUAUGAUCUUAUAAAAUGUACGGAUUGUUUAUAUAAAUUUAAUUUGUAAAUAUAUAUUACUAACACUGAAUUUUAUUUUUAAUAGUUGAACCUGUUUUCAAAAUGACGCUACUCAAACGAUUGAAUUCAAGCCUGAUGUACGAGAAUGUUCCACACAAACUCCAGCCUAAUUUAUGGGAGUAUGUCACAUCGAAUGUUCAUUCUUUAGGUAGAAUUGACUCAAAUUGUUUUUUGGUCAUAGCUAUGCAUACAUAUUAACGAUAUGAAUGAGCUACAAAUUGAUUGUGGUACCAUAAGAUACGAGAUACUACUUCGACAAGGAUUUCUUCUACCAAGUCUAAGCACAUUGAGCUGACAGUUAGAAGUUUUGGACUUCAAUCCAAGUACUUUAGACGAAGUAAUUCCUUCUUGUCACCCUGAAGCAUUGGAUGGCACGCAUCAUGACCAAACUCUCAUUUUCUAAGGAGUUGGAGCAAAAGCAAAGGAAAUUCUUUGACGUCGUGAAUGAAGACGAGAGAGAAAAGAAUGUUGAACAAAUCAAUGGAAAAUAUAGUGUAUCCUAAAGGACUCUAAGAACUUUAAAUGUAUCUCACUAUAAUUAAGCUGCUACAAUUUUAAAGCAAAUUAUUAUAGUUUAUUAGUAUAGCCGUUGUAUAACAUUUAGGUUUUAAGAAAAAUAAU